CCUACGGGGGGCAGCAGUGAGGAAUAUUGGUCAAUGGACGAGAGUCUGAACCAACCAAGUAGCGUGAAGGAUGACUGCCCUAUGGGUUGUAAACUUCUUUUAUAUGGGAAUAAAAUGUUCCACGUGUGGGAUUUUGUAUGUACCAUAUGAAUAAGGAUCGGCUAACUCCGUGCCAGCAGCCGCGGUAAUACGGAGGAUCCGAGCGUUAUCCGGAUUUAUUGGGUUUAAAGGGAGCGUAGGUGGAUUGUUAAGUCAGUUGUGAAAGUUUGCGGCUCAACCGUAAAAUUGCAGUUGAAACUGGCAGUCUUGAGUACAGUAGAGGUGGGCGGAAUUCGUGGUGUAGCGGUGAAAUGCUUAGAUAUCACGAAGAACUCCGAUUGCGAAGGCAGUUCACUGGACUGCAACUGACACUGAGGCUCGAAAGUGUGGGUAUCAAACAGGAUUAGAUACCCGGGUAGUC
rnacentral:rRNA from 1 species